UUAAGUGACGAUAGCCUAGGAGAUACACCUGUACCCAUGCCGAACACAGAAGUUAAGCCCUAGAACGCCG
rnacentral:rRNA from 1 species